GGAGAAGUGGCAGAGUUGGUUGAUUGCGUUUGAUUUGAAAUCAAAUGAGUGUAAUAGCUCCGUGGGUUCGAAUCCCACCUUCUCUU
rnacentral:tRNA from 1 species